AGUGAACGCUGGCGGUAGGCCUAACACAUGCAAGUCGAACGGCAGCACAGUAAGAGCUUGCUCUUACGGGUGGCGAGUGGCGGACGGGUGAGGAAUACAUCGGAAUCUACUUUUUCGUGGGGGAUAACGUAGGGAAACUUACGCUAAUACCGCAUACGACCUACGGGUGAAAGCAGGGGAUCUUCGGACCUUGCGCGAUUGAAUGAGCCGAUGUCGGAUUAGCUAGUUGGCGGGGUAAAGGCCCACCAAGGCGACGAUCCGUAGCUGGUCUGAGAGGAUGAUCAGCAACACUGGAACUGAGAAACGGUCCAGACUCCUACGGAAGGCAGCAGUGGGGAAUAUUGGACAAUGGGCGCAAGCCUGAUCCAGCCAUACCGCGUGGGUGAAGAAGGCCUUCGGGUUGUAAAGCCCUUUUGUUGGGAAAGAAAAGCAGCAGGUUAAUACCCCGCUGUUCUGACGGUACCCAAAGAAUAAGCACCGGCUAACUUCGU
rnacentral:rRNA from 1 species